UCAAGAAGAAGAAAAGGUUUUACCCAUAAAAAUGGAACAGAACACCUUGGACUGGGCUGAGCUGCUGGGACAACCAGAUGAAAAGCUGAUUUCCGGAGGGCCGAGCCAAAGGAGGUCCAGCAAGCCGUAACACACCAGCAGCUCCAGGGCAGCACAGUGAGACAGGUUAGAAGUGGGGCUGACGCUAACAGAACCGAAGACUUUCACUGAGUGAGAAGUGGAUGAUGGUGAGCUGCAAAAGCCUCAGAGCAAGAUCCCAGUGGAGCAGAUGUCAAAGAAGGAUCCCAGUAUCACAUAUCGGUUAGAUGACCAAGGCAGGGCCCACAUGACAUGACAGCUAAAGCUCGGAUCGCGAGGAUAUUGCAGGGGGAUUCAGUGGACAACACCUGUGCACUGAUUUUCUUUACCGUCUACAACUUGACCACCCAGUUGGCGUUCGUGCAAAUUGAGCAAGUCUCCUGUGCAUGUGUAGGUUCUCUCAGGGUGCUCCUGCUUCCUUCCACGGUCCAAAAAUGACAGCCAGGAUUUGAAAGAAGGAAGUCUCAGUCAGCCAACAGCAGAAGAGUCUUCAUUUCCGUCACACAUCCACUUCCAGAACUGAUACCACGGCUGUCCAGGAUUCACUUCCAGUCAUCCGGGGGAUGGGCUUCAUGUAUAUCUCAACCGGCCGUCUCCAUUGACUACCUGCCAGGCACCUGCUCUGAGAAAUGAAGCCAAGGCAAAUGCCUCUCUUGGGAGCCUUUUGGACUCAGCAGACAAGGCCUGGCCUCAGCCCUGCAUUUGAAUAGGCUUUGAGUGGUCCUGGUAAACCAAUCUCCCUAAUUAUCUAUUGAAAGGAUAUUUUUUUUCCUUGCCUACUCAUUACCUUGAUUUCAAUUGCUGAAAAGUAACAUGGAGAAACUAAAAAAAAAAGAGGGCAGGGAGAGGAUGUGGGAAUAAAUACAUGCAUCCAUACGUGCGCACACACCACUGCGGUCUUGUGAGACAUCUAGAAACGCAAAAGACUCAGCAUUGUCCUGAUUUCAAUAAGGUUAAUUGUAGGUCGGAGGGAGCAGCUUUUACACAUAAAUCCAGAAUGCAGGAACAGGUCAAGGCUAUCAGGAGGAAUAAACAUGAAUAAAUGGCUUUUAGCUACAUAUUGCUGCAUCAGUAAUUGCUGUUAGGGCAGGCUGUUUUAGCACAUGAUUGGUUUGCCCCCAAAUCAUCAUUCUUGUCAAGUAACUAGAGUGGCCUCAGUUUGAAUAUGAAGAAUUGUUUUCACCGAGACCCACUUAUUCUGGAUAUUAAGUAGUUCCACAACAUUACGUCUUGCUGGGGUUGUUUCUUUAUAAAGGAAUGCAAAUAAAACUGACGUUGAUUUUAAAGUGAUAAAUACAUAUUAUGAAAUAAAUAUGCCAGAGGAGCUGCGUUCUCCUCUGCUUACUUUACUUUAAGUGUAAUAUGUUGAAUUUGAAAUCCUUCCAAGAUGCACAAUCUUUGAUUUUUUUGGCUUUGUGAUCAAGUUUGUCACGUGUCAACCUCAAAAUUUGUUGUGAUGAUUUCAUUUCAAAUGAUAGACUAACACACAGUUAAACAAAUUUUUUCAAGGAAUUCAAUGUAUUGUUUCUAAUUGUUUUACAAAUAAAAAUGGAAAAGGUG